rnacentral:rRNA from 1 species
UUCGGGGGGGGCAAGCGUUGUUCGGAAUUACUGGGCGUAAAGGGCUCGUAGGUGGUCAACUAAGUCGGACGUGAAAUCCCUCGGCUUAACCGGGGAACUGCGUCCGAUACUGGAUGACUUGAGUUCGGGAGAGGGAUGCGGAAUUCCAGGUGUAGCGGUGAAAUGCGUAGAUAUCUGGAGGAACACCGGUGGCGAAGGCGGCAUCCUGGACCGACACUGACGCUGAGGAGCGAAAGCCAGGGGAGCAAACGGG